GGUUGACCUCGGAUCAGGUAGGAGGACCCGCUGA
rnacentral:rRNA from 1 species